AAAAAUUAAAAGAUUCUCUCUGUUUUCCCAAAACAAAAUCCCCAGUUCUGCCCUAGUCUCUCCACAUCCACGCAUAGUCUUCUGCCUAGCUCUCUAUUGACAACUCAAAAUCUGUGUUUUCUCAAAACAAAGAUUGCGAAUUUGUUGGUUUGUGAAUCGCAGGUCUAUCCAGUUUUCAACCUCGCUCGUUUGCGAAUCCCAUGUAUGCCUGAUCUUCAGGGGCGGCCCUACCCUAAAGCAGAUUCUGAUGUUGGUCCCAAUAUCGGUUAGUGGAGACUCGCUCGGACUUUCUUACAUGGAGAGUUGAAGUAGAGUUGCACAGCGUUCGCAGUCCCUGAAGUCCCCUUCUUAUUUCUUGCAUUGAUAUUUCAUUCAAACAGUUGUAUUAUUAUUAUUUCAAAACUUGGUUGUAGUAUAUUAGUUUGUAGCUCAUGUAAAUAUGACACCAAAUUUAGGGAUUUGACUAGACGGCGUAUUGGAAAUUAUUAUAUCUAUUUUGAAGUUUUAUAUCUUUUA